GGGGCUGUGGCUCAGUGGUAGAGCACUCGCCUAGCAUGUGUGAGGCCCUGGGUUCCAUCCUCAGCACCACA
rnacentral:tRNA from 1 species